ACAGAGCUGUCAGGGUGCCUGACAUGCCCUCCUAGGCAAGCCCUUCAAGCAUACCUUUUCAUUCCCGCAUCUCCACGCUGCUGAGAAAGGGCUUGCUUUCCGCACCUCUCUGCUUCCCCCACCUCGACUGUGAGUUCCAUGAGGGCAGGUCUGUGUGGUCCUGUCACAGCAGCACAGAGCCUGGCAUACGGUAGGAAUUCUACGAUUCCUGGCUGGAUGGAUACAUGGAAUGAAUAAUCUUGAAGAAGGUCUCCUGAAAGCCGAAUCACUUCCUGAAUCUGGCAGGUCAGAAGAACACAGACUCUUUUCUGUCUGAAUCUUCUCUGAAUGCCCAGCCCUUAAAACAUAGGAGAUAUAAACACACAGCCAAUGAAUGAAUGAACAUUCACGAAUGAACCAGAAAAGUAUUUCAAAAAUUUGCCAAAACAGAGAGUUGAAGCAUAAGAGUUGAAGCAUCGAGAAAGUCUUGGAAAAACUGAAGUUGAUAAGCCCUGCUUUGGAAUCAGUUCUGCCAAAGGUAGUAAAGAGCCAAAGAGAAAGACUGCAUUAACUGGAAGGAAACUCACCAGACCUAGGAGGCAGUCUUGAAGUUCAUCACUCAUGAGUGGAUGGCAUUGAACUCUUUAAUGCAAUUGAUCUAGGACUCAGCUCCUUAAGUGAGGGAAUCGAGUUAAAGAGUGAAACGAAUGUUAUCCAACUCGAGUUUUAUACCAACGUAAGCUAGACGUAUGAAGUUAGGCGAUACUGUUAGAUGGGGGCAGUAUGAUUUAAUUCCUUUAUAGGAAUUCUUGGCAGUAUUUGGAAAGUAAAUAGUCCACGUCUGGUUUGGUGGGAAGAAGCGUUUGAUGUUCAAUCCCAUUUCAUUUGAAGGCUUUUCUGAAAAUCAACUAUAAUCUUCAAUUGGACCAUAAUGUCAGCUUCUUAUAUAUUUUUUAAAAAUACGGAGUAAAGAUUAUUAAAAAUUCAAACAUUUUGUUUUCAACUCAGAUAUAAGAUCCUUGUUAAAGAACCAAAGAACCAUGACAAUGAAAGGAACUUCAGAAACACAUUUAAUCCAAACCUGUGUCUUUAAGCCUUGUUUCUUCUCAAUCUCUUUAAACUGGCUCAAGCAUGAAACCCUUCAAUCAACUACAGCCUACUGAAAACUCAUUGUGUAAAAAUAACAUUUAUUAAACAAUGCUAUGUGUCACGUGCAGUGCUAAGCUUAACUUGGAUUAUCUCAUUUAAUCCACAUAAUAACCCUCAGGAAGGAUGCUCUUAUUAUCACAGAGGAAGACACUGGAGCAUAAAGGGGUGAAGCGACUACCCAAGAGCACAGAGGGUCAUAAUGAGGCCAAGAUUGGAACUCAGUGUGUGUAACUCCAGAGCUCAUGAGAUUAAUCCCCAAGCCACAGAGAAACUGUACCUGGUGCUAUGUGAAUUUCUAAAAUUUUGUUAUUUGGAAACAAUAUUAAAUUUAUAAAAAAAAGUUAAAAGAAUAAAAAUAGUAGAAGACUAGUACAAAGAACACCAUUAUACCCUUUACAUGAUUAACCUAUUAAAAUUUUACUCAGUUGCUUUGUCACACAAUAAACAGGUAAGUAGGUAAGUAAAUAAAGAGAUAGGUAAGUAAAUAAAUGGAUAGAUGGGGGAGGAAGAAUGGGUGCAUAUAAAUUUAUAGAUGUAGAUACAGAUAUUUAUCAUUUUUUAUGAAUCCUUAGAGAACGACCGGCAUGUGUUAGCGCCCAUUAUCCCUAUAUACUUUAGUGUCUAAUUCUUAAAAAUAGGAUAUUUUCUAACAUUAUCAAGCUCAGUAAAACAUUGACAAACGAUUUUGUCAAUUGGCCCAAUAAUGUCCUUCAUGGCGUUGUUUUUCCCUCCAGUGGAAAUCCAGUCUAGACUCAGGUAAUGCAUUUUAUUAUUCUAUCUCUUUAGCUUACAUUCAUCUAAAAUAUUUCCAAAAACCUUCCUUUGUCUUUUAUGACAUUGACAAGUCUGAAGAAAACAGUCUUUUUUUUUUCCAUUGGGAUAAUCUUCUUUUUGGAUUUGUCUGAUAUUUCCUCAUUAUUAAAUUUGGCUUAUGAAUUUCAGACUGGGGUAAUACGUAAGUGAUGUCACAGUUCCUUAAGUUAUGACAUCUAGAGGCACACGGUGUCCAUCUGCCCCUCAUUGGUGAUGUGAAUUUUGAUCACCUAGUCAAGGUUUGUCUGGUUUCACCAUUAUAUGGUUAAUACUAUAUAGUAACUAUUAUAUGGAAACUGAAUUAUUUAUAAUGA